ACCGGACCCGCGGCGCGGGUGGCUUCUCCGGGCGCCUAUCCCCCGGCAACCA
rnacentral:ncRNA from 1 species